rnacentral:rRNA from 1 species
GUAGGGAAUCUUCCACAAUGGACGAAAGUCUGAUGGAGCAACGCCGCGUGAGUGAAGAAGGUUUUCGGAUCGUAAAACUCUGUUAUCGGAGAAGAACGUACUUGGUAGUAACUGGCCAGGUAGUGACGGUAUCCGAUCAGAAAGCCACGGCUAACUACGUGCCAGCAGCCGCGGUAAUACGUAGGUGGCAAGCGUUGUCCGGAUUUAUUGGGCGUAAAGCGAGUGCAGGCGGUUUUUUAAGUCUGAUGUGAAAGCCUUCGGCUUAACCGAAGAAAUGCAUUGGAAACUGGGGAACUUGAGUGCAGAAGAGGAGAGUGGAACUCCAUGUGUAGCGGUGAAAUGCGUAGAUAUAUGGAAGAACACCAGUGGCGAAGGCGGCUCUCUGGUCUGUAACUGACGCUGAGGCUCGAAAGCGUGGGUAGCAAACAGGAUUAGAAACCCUAGUAGUCC